rnacentral:rRNA from 1 species
AACGAACGCUGGCGGCAUGCCUAACGCAUGCCAGUCGAACGAGACCUUCGGGUCUAGUGGCGCACGGGUGCGUAACGCGUGGGAACCUGCCCUUAGGUUCGGAAUAACUCCCCGAAAGGGGUGCUAAUACCGGAUAAUGUCUUCGGCCCAAAGAUUUAUCGCCUUUGGAUGGGCCCGCGUUGGAUUAGCUAGUUGGUAGGGUAAAAGCCUACCAAGGCGACGAUCCAUAGCUGGCCUGAGAGGAUGAUCAGCCACACUGGGACUGAGACACGGCCCAGACUCGUACGGGAGGCAGCAGUGGGGAAUAUUGGACUAUGGGCGAAAGCCUGAUCCAGCAAUGCCGCGUGAGUGAUGAAGGCCUUAGGGUUGUAAAGCUCUUUUACCCGGGAUGAUAAUGACAGUACCGGGAGAAUAAGCUCCGGCUAACUCCGUG